rnacentral:tRNA from 1 species
GCGGACUGAGUUUGAUCGGGAGAACGGCGGUCUCCAAAACCGCAGGAUGGGGUUCGAAUCCCUGAGUCUGUGCCA